UCACUUUUCAUAUUCCCGCAUUGGUUUACUGAUUUAUGGCUUUCCCAAGCCAACUCAACGCCGACGGAAGACUAAAAACGCUAAUGACAGCGUUUUUGUAUGAAAAAAAAAAAAUCCGCGCCAGAUCAUCAACGUUCUCUUCAACUCUACUCAAAGCACUAAAGAAGAACAAAGUGGUAGAACUUGCCGGUAUUUUUAAAACGGUAUACCAAGAUUAUGACAAAGUUAUUCAUUGGGCGAAGUAUAACCAUUGCGAAGCGCAUUUAACGCUCUUCGGGGAAAGUGAUUUCGCACUUUCGAAUUUUAAAUUUUAUAAAUCAUACCUACACCUACGAGAAAAAUGUUUAGUAAAUAAAUAAAAAACAAGAACAAAAAAAUAACCAAUUUUAAAAAUCGUGUCAAAUGGAAUUUAUCACCUCACCUGGCGCUGAUUAUGAUCUCUUAUAAGUCCCGUGUCUCGUUUAAAAAAGAGUUAUUCUCCAUCUUCAAACAACAAAAGAAGUAAAAAAUUCAAUAAAUUUCCAAUAAACUGAUCAUUCCAUAGAUCUUCUUGACAAAAAAAAAUACAAAACAAAUAAACAAACGAGACACUAUAAAGUGUCACCCUCUACAAGUGAUCAACGGGAACUACCUUAUAACAACCGAUUGGGUCCAGGUUAUCAAACAUUACAUUGGGACUAUGGUCUUGGGAAUUUGAAACAUGCGCCCAACACGGGGAUAACCCAAACCAUAAGCAAAAGAAUGGAGAUCUUCGUGUGUGCGCUUGCGCACAUGCAGCAACUAAUUUCGAUAAGCAGCCACAUUUUUCACUGCCCAGUUUUUUGUUUUUUCCCGAGGAUCGCCGGGGUAAAACAAAAAAAAACAAAACGACAACGAAGACCACGAUUGACAUAGUACUGUAUCGUGACGCUGUCAUUUGAAAUUGCGCAAUAAAUUUAAAACUUCUUCGAUCAGAGAUCUCUUCUUCUUCUGCUUCUUGGGUUGUUGAUCAGUCAAGAGGAAUGUGUUUUAAAUAUGCAAAUAGUUUUGUAAAAAUUAACAAAUAUUUAAGAAAAUAGAAUGAGAAGAAAAAAAAAAAAAAAAACAAAGUUCAGGACCUGAACGCGAUGUCACCAGUUUUCAAUCAAUGUAUCCUAUUUUCAACAAAAAUUAUUCAUUUUGUUAAAUUACAAAUCUUGUGAGAUUGAAAUUAUGAAGUUUGGAUGUUUAUGGAUAUGUAAGUAUUCUAUGAAAAAUAAUAGAAUCCUAAUUAUUACUUCUCAGUACAGAAUCGGAUGUAAAAAAAAAUUUAAGUGCAAAUUUAAAUCCACAACAAAAUUGCUAAAACUUUGUGGAAUGUAUUCAACCAAUGUAUGUCCAAUAAAAUCAAGAAAAAUUCACUUCCACAUAGUAUUGGUUUCUAGAAUCAAUUCUUGAGCACAUGACCAGAAGCAAAAAGGCAACGGGAUUUAUAUCUUUAAAACGAAUAGAACUUGUGGAACGUAUUCAAAAAAAUCAACUUCCAAUUAAAUCAAGCAAAUUUGACGUCCACAUUGUGUAAAGCACUAGGAUUCCUUGUACUAACUCCAGAGCACAUGACCAGAAAGAUAAAGCCUAUGGAAGGUGCAUCUUUCAAACGAAUAGAACUUGUGGAACGUAUCUACCAAGUCAACCUCUACGAUGAAAAAUAAUUAACCUCAACAUCAACAUCGUAUUAGACAUUAGGAUUGUAAGAACUAACUCCUGGCCAUACAACCAAAUUUUAAAAGAGCUACCGAAGUUCCAUCUUGAAAUCAAAUAAAACUUGUGGAACGUAAGCUGAGAAAGCUGUAUUUCAAAGAUAAAUUUUUAGCUUUUAAGAUUAUGAUAGAUAGAUAGGAGCAAAGUUCAUUAACCCAAGUACAUAUUCAGAGUAUAAAUGAAAUUGUGUUAAAGACAGCAUUUGCAAAACUUACAUUCCACACGUUAUAAUUUCCAAUAGAAUUUGUAAAAUAUAAAUUUUGAAGCAUUUAUGUAUUUUUGCACUUCUUCAAUUCCUAAUUUUGUUGUCCACAUGUUCGCUCUCUAAAAAAUUUAAAGUGUUUUAGAAUGUGGAACGUAUUCGUUUGGAAGGAGUUAUUUUUCCUUUACUGCCCAAAAUGCAACUUAAUCUCCGAAACUGUAAAUAAAAAAAUUAUUUUUCCUGUAUAUAAUUCCUAACUGUUUCAUGUUCCCUAUAUGAUCCAACUUCCAAAACCUAUUUCCAU